GCCUGCGUAGCUCAAACGGGAGAGCACCUCCGGGGGGUCGGAGGAGAUCCGGGUUCGAGUCCCGGCGCAGGCA
rnacentral:tRNA from 1 species